rnacentral:lncRNA from 1 species
GAGACUCCGUCACACUGAUUCACCUAUAUCUGAAGAUUACCUGAACAGAACAGACAAAUAAAUGUGAGUUUCAUAAACUCAGUGUGCAACUCACGGAAAUAUAUACAUGCAUAAAAUUAAGAUUUCCAGUGCUUCAGAACAGAAGUGGACAUAAGUUCCUAACAGAGUCAAAUUAUACCAAAAUUAGAUUUUCAGAACAUACAGAUAUACAGAGUCCUACCCCCAUCCUCUACACACCAUCUCCGUCCAUCCCAACACAGCAUGUGGGGUAUAAAACGCCUACCCAUCCUUACACACCACAUAGUGUCUAAACCGCACUUAUCAGAAUAGUAUGCAGACAAGCUGCCAGUAUAUUGGCGAUAUGUCGCCUCAGAGAACACUCCCUCCACAUAUCCCAAUCCCACCCCAUAUAUAGAUACAAAAUAUAGAUACACGGGUAUAAUAGAAUUAGCAUGCGCAUAUACAAAUAUUAUACAUACUUAUGCAAAUCAAUUAGACAUAUACAUCGGUUUUCCUAAACUCACUCAAUCUAUCAGAUUAACAAAUCUCAUGCAUUAGGGUUUGUUUAGCCCUUACCGGUCCUACAGAAGGCUCACAGUCGAUUAGAACGACUCGUGUGACCUAAGGGAAAAUUUUAAUAUUUUGGGCCCACAUGCCUAUGUGGCCCACACGGCCUGGCCCAUAGCUCACACGCCCGUGUUGUAACACCCCUUACCCGUAUUCCUUACCGGAACAGAGUAUGAGGUAUUACUAAAUUUUUAAAAAUUUUCGACAGCAUUCCUACUUAUUUUUGCUUAAACCUCCUGCAAAUUUAGAACACAUUCCAAUAUACCAACCAAUUUCAUUUGUAUAAACACACAUAUAGUUUAACUAUUAAUAAACACUACAUUUAAAAGGGAACCAUAACAUAUAUUUACAUGAUGAUCCCACAUUACAUAAAGUGUCUAUACAUGCCAUAAAAUUUCGGAACACUAGUAGUAAAAUACCCCAAAUGUGAAGGAUAGUGUAGAUGAUUGUCUGACUUCGUUCCAAUUUCCGAGUUGUUGGAAGUCACUAUAACCAAGAGAAAAAUAAAAUCGAGUAAGCAUAUAGCUUAGUAAGUAAACACAUGAUAAAUAAGUAAUUACUCCCAUAACUACACCAAAAUAUAAAUUUAUUCAUGAAUAACUUUAUUGUUUAGGCAAUUUCCAGCAAGCUGUUUUUCUGCGUCAUAGUCGCUAAUUUAUUUUUAUCUGGAGCUACAGGGCUCCAAAUUGAGUUCCGUAAAUUUUCCCUAAAACUAGACUCAUAUACCAUUUCACCAUAAAAAUUUCAGAAUUUUUAACCCAUCAAAUUAGUACAGUUUAUUCAUUAAACCUUCCCUUGUUUCACUGCCCAACGGUUCUGACCCUUCCUCACUAAAAUUUACUUAACUCUCUGUACAAAAUUUGAAAAAUGGUUUCUCUUGUUUCUAAUAAAAAUAGACUCAAUAAGGAUUCCAGGGAUAUAAAUUUCAUGCCAUAAUUAUUUUUUUACAAUUUUUGGUAAUUUUCCAAAGUUAGAACAGGGGAUCUCGAAAUCAAUCCAGCCCUGUUUCAGUAAAAUUCAGAUAUCUCCAAAAAUACAACUCCUUUGCUUAUUCUAUUUCUUUCAUAUGAGAAUAGAUACAUUCAACUUCAAUUUCAUAUAUUAUUCAGCUUCCCAUUCAUUUUCCACCAUUUAUGGUGAUUUUUUCAAAGUUACCCAAUUGCUGUUGUUCAACACAGUUUAUAAUUAAAUCGUUCCUUUUGCGUUUUUGAUAUUUUCUCCCAUCUCAUACAUGGGUCGAUUUAGUAUUCAACUCAAUAUUUACCCCAUAAAAUUUUCUACCAUAUGGCAUAUUCAUCUUCCACACUUUUUCGUUGAACACUCGGAAUGNNNNNNNNNNNNNNNNNNNNNNNNNNNNNNNNNNNNNNNNNNNNNNNNNNNNNNNNNNNNNNNNNNNNNNNNNNNNNNNNNNNNNNNNNNNNNNNNNNNNNNNNNNNNNNNNNNNNNNNNNNNNNNNNNNNNNNNNCACCAAUGAAUCGGGGAAUCAGCACUUAGCAACCCCUCGGGGGAAUCAGCACAUAGCAACCCUCUUUCACAAUUCAAAGAUAUGGUGGAUCACGCACAUAGCACCACCCAUAAAUCGGGGAAUCAGCACACAGCAACCCCUUUUAUAUACAACAUACUACGGCUUAUUCCGAGUGUUCAACCCAUAACCCAUAUAUUGCAACCCUUUAUCACCUUUCCCGAUUUAACAACAUUUUUAGGAUAUUGCCAAACAUUUAUUUUAAUUCCAAAUAAAUCUCAACAUAUAUCAAAUAAUAUCAAAAUAAUACAUUAAGUCACGUGUUUACUUACCUCGGUGCAAAAUAUCGUAAUUUUGCACUUUACUCCACUAUCUUUCCUUUUCCCCGUUUGAUAUACUCUUCACGUCUUUCUUGAUCUAUAAUAGCAAAUUUAACUCGUUUAAUAUUCACAUUUAUUAAAAUAAUCCACCACCCAACUUUUUGAAAAUUACAAUUUUGCCCCCAAACUUUUGCAUAAUUACACUUUUGUCCCCAAGCUCGGAAAUUAAACUUCAUCACUUAUUCUUAAGUUUUAUAACAUGCUGAACAUUUUUCCCUUCUAUGGCAACAUCAAAUUCCCACUCCAACACAUACUUUUGAAUAUUAAUUAUUUUUACCGAUUAUGUCUAUUUACCCGUUUUCGCUUAAAAUUGCUUAGCAAAAGUUGUUUAACAAAAUCUCUAGCUUCAUAUUCCACCAUAAAACAGCAAAAUAAACACAUUUCACCUAUGGAUAUUUUUCCAAAUAUGAACCCUAACAUGAAUUAAUGGUAGAAUAAGCUAAACCAAGUUACUGGGACUCCAAAAAUACGAAGAACAUUAAAAACGGGGCUUAGAAUCACUUACUAUGGAGCUUGAAAGCU